CCUACGGGUGGCAGCAGUGGGGAAUAUUGGGCAAUGGGCGCAAGCCUGACCCAGCAACGCCGCGUGAAGGAAGAAGGCUUUCGGGUUGUAAACUUCUUUUAAGCGGGAAGAGCAGAAGACGGUACCUCUUGAAUAAGCCACGGCUAACUACAUGCCAGCAGCCCCGGUAAUACGUAGGUGGGAAGCGUUGUCCGGAUUUACUGGGUGUAAAGGGCGUGUAGCCGGGCUUAGUAGUCAGAUGUGAAAUUCCGGGGCUCAACCCCGGACCUGCCUUUGAAACUGUUGGUCUUGAGUAUCGGAGAGGCAGGCGGAAUUCCUAGUGUAGCGGUGAAAUGCGUAGAUAUUAGGAGGAACACCAGUGGCGAAGGCGGCCUGCUGGACGACAACUGACGGUGAGGCGCGAAAGCGUGGGGAGCAAACAGGAUUAGAUACCCGAGUAGUC
rnacentral:rRNA from 1 species